GGGUUUCCGYCSKUUCAGUGCUGCAGCUAACGCAUUAAGUAAUCCGCCUGGGGAGUACSGCCGCAAGGUUGAAACUYAAAAGAAUUGACGGGGGCACGCACAAGCGGUGGAGCAUGUGGUUUAAUUAGAAGCUACGCGAAGAACCUUACCAGGUCUUGACAUCUUCUGACAGUUUAAGAGAUUAGAGGUUACCUUCGGGGACAGAAUGACAGGUGGUGCAUGGUUGUCGUCAGCUCGUGUCGUGAGAUGUUGGGUUAAGUCCCGCAACGAGCGCAACCCUUAUUACUAGUUGCCAGCAUUAAGUUGGGCACUCUAGUGAGACUGCCGGUGACAAACCGGAGGAAGGUGGGGACGACGUCAAAUCAUCAUGCCCCUUAUGACCUGGGCUACACACGUGCUACAAUGGAUGGUACAACGAGUCGCGAGACCGCGAGGUUAAGAUAAUCUCUUAAAACCAUUAUCAGUUCGGUCUGUAGGCUGCAACUCGCCUACACGAAGUAGGAAUCGUUAGUAAUUACGGAUCAGCAUGCCGCGGUGAAUAAGUUCCCGGGCCUGGUACACACCCCCCGUCACACCAUGAGAGUGAGUAACA
rnacentral:rRNA from 1 species